UUUGGAAUGGCAGAUUAUAUGUGAUAGAUUUAGGUUCUAUAGAUGGAGAUUUUCUCCUUCCAAAU
rnacentral:tRNA from 1 species